UUUUUUUUUUUUUAAUUUUUAAAUUAAUACUUUGGAAUAUAUUUUGCCAUUUGUCCAAAAUAGAAUUCAAGAAUGAUAUCUGUCAUCCGUAGUGCAUCAGAAGUUAUUUUAAAUAUGGCAUCUUUAUAAAAGUCAAUAGCUGCCUCAUCAAAGGGCAAUCAUGUCCAGUGUGGGUGGCUGUGCCAAUUGUUUUUGAACUACUGCAGCAAGCUAGCCAAUCCCAGGGAAUGGCUUGCAGCCUUUCUACACCCACAUUUUUUCUUAAUUAUCUCCACCAGGCUGAGUUAGCUAAGGACAGAUCUAUAGCAUUUCCUGGAUGUCAAAAUGCCCACACACCUUCUGCAAUCCUUGAGCUUCCAGCUCCCUUUCAUGUUUUUCCUGGUUGGUCCAUCUAAUUAUCUAUUAUCAUGUAUAUAUAAUGCAUUAUUCAUGAGGCCCAGACAAUUUCAGAAUGUAAUAUCUCUGAUUUCAAAAGGAAAUGACCUGAAAAAUUAGAACUUAUGCUUGCACAAAGAAGAUGAGCAAUUAAUUUGAUAGUGAGUCUCUCUCAUCAUCCCAUACAUUUGAAAAAUAAUCUGCAGGAGUUUGGGAUCAUUGUUCAAAUUAAAACUCUCCCAGUCGUCAUUUCUCAGAAAACCACAGGUUCAACAUCUAGAUUCCUUCUAUAUGGGGUUUAAAUAAGUUGCCUUGACUUCUCAUAAUGUGCUUCCUAACAAACAAGUUAAAAACCUGGUGGCACCCCAAAUUAUAAAUCAUCAAAGGUUAGGGUGACUUAGGCCCUACCUUCCGCCAAGGAGGAGUUAUCUGUUGUAUCACUCAAACUUGGAGCUAACAUGGAAUUGAGAGUUUAUCUUGAGAACAUCUUCCUUGUCUUAUGUGUGAGGAAAUAGAGAUGCUGAGGGACUAAUGGAUUUUUUUUCAGCUCCUGACAACUAGUUGGGAGGGAAGCUUGAACUCAGACUUUUAAUUUGGUUCACUGUGUUCUCUUGAAAAAGGUAAGAUUCCAGCAGUUUGUCCCCUUCUGGAGAUUGGAGGAAAUUAAAGGACGAGUCAUGUCUCUAACCUAUAAGCUCCACCAAGAUAGGUGCCAUUUAGUCUUCCUUAUUGCUGAAUCUUCAGCUUGUAAGUUAAUGCUUAUUGCAUAGAAAUAUAAAUCUUAGCAUCUAGAAAGUAUACCUUUUGGGCAAAGUAGGAAGCGGCCGGUCAAGUUCAUGAUCCCGUAAGUAUCAGGGUAUCUACCAAGACAAGCAAGAUCCCAGGAAUUGAAAGCUGGGAUGAAAUUCCAGAGGCUUGGAAGAAAACAAGUCAGUAUGAAUUCAAGCAUCAGAUAUGGGUUGGGAUAAGUGACCUCUGAGAACCUUCCCAGCCCUUGGAUUCUAUGACUCACUAGAAAAGCAAAAUGAUUCUUGGCUUUGGCUCUUCCUAUUUUCUGUGUUGUUUUUUUGGGGACUUAGAGACUGUGCCUUAGAUGGUAUGUCAGGUACAGGAAGAUUCCUUCCUUUGAGUCUCCAAUUGCAGGAGAUUGAAGUGGCUUAGAAAGGCAAGGUCAUAGAAUUCGGUGAACUGUUUGUAAAUAGUUUUUUUUUUUUUUUUAUCAAAGAAAUCAAAAUAGGAGAAAGAUAACACAUACAGUUCCCUCAGAUGCCUAAGUGGGAUUUGAGGUGGCACCGUCUGGAGAGGAACAAGCAUGAUCCGUGAAAUUUGAAGAAAUAGACUGAGUCAGUCUUCACCUCUUACCAGCAGCGUGGUCCUGGACAACUCUGAAUCUGAAUUUCCUCAUCUGUAAAAAGGUGACUGCUAAUUCCUACCCGACACAAAUGCCAAAGAGAUCAAAUAAGGAAUAAGGUAAAAAGCUAUCAAAGCACUACAUGCCUACAAAAUACUAUUAUCAGGAAAUACAAAUAAAGUCUGCAUUAUAGCAGAAUUCUUUCUAGGACUCCUUUAGAAUGUUAGGAAAAAAGAAAAAAAAGUAAGAAAGUCUGCCUACAUUUUUAAAAACUCAGAAUGAACACUCCCCAAAUUGCCAAAUGAAAAUGGAGGCAGGGACAAAGAAUUUAACAUUCUGACCUUUGCAUCAUGCUGUUUUGGGGUAUUAGUCUUCAGGGAACAUGUGUAUCUUCCUCAAGACACACUUGUUAAAGCAGUAGCUUUAACUUCCAAAGUAAAAGAAAAGAAAGAGAGAGAUUUCAAAUUGUUGAAAGUAUGAUCACUCUUAAGUCAAAGGGGGAAGGAAAUUUUCUUUUUAUUGUUGAAGAAUUCAGUCUUUCUGCCUUUACAGGCAACCCCCCCUCCCCAUUUCCAUAGGAUUCAAUAGUGGUAUGCUCUCACUAGGUGUUACUAUUUAUCUUUAUUAAGUACCACACUCUGUUCUUUACGUGGAUUGUGUCGUGUCAACUCAAGAGAGCCCCGCUUGUUAAUGACACCAGCAAAGACACAGAGACAAACAUGCCCCUACACACGCACACGCACACACGCACGCACACACAGCAGUAGCAGAUCAGCAGGGAAAGACACGAGCCAAAGAAAGAUAAUUUGAGUUACUUCUGAGGUAGCAGUUGUAAAAUUAAAAUAGGCAACUCAUUAAAUUAUCCAUAGAGUGAAAAGAAAGCUACCAAAAUAGAUAUUUUUCUGGCAAGUCAGUGCUUUUCAGAAAAAAAAAAUUUAGUUUUAAGCAGAAUUUUAAAACCAGAUGAUAUCAGUUGGUAUUCAUUAGAAUCAUUUAAAUAGUUUGCCCUAAUCAAAAGCAAAGAAUAGCUUUGCUGGCCUUUGGUAGAAGUAUAUUGAAUAAAAAAUAUGUUCAGUGAGACAUCAUUUUAACUGACAGAUUGUAAGCAAUUUGAUCUGGUGAAUGCUAUUUGAGCAAGUUGGAGCCUGGUCCCCAAAUCAUAGAAUUAAAAAUAAAAAUUCUUUUCCGGCAAUGCCUCCAUGCUGGCUUUUCUUCAUUUCCAUGUGCUGGUUUUUGUGGCCGAUUAUCUAUUUAGUGGUCAUCAUCCAGGCCUUGCCUCGCACAUUGACUGAUUUGGGGAUUUUGUUUCUUACUAACGCUUCCCCUAGAGGACAGGCCAGGAAAAGAAAAGAAACUAGAUUCACCAGCUUCUCCUCUUAUUAAAAAUUUAGAUUAGCGACUUGAUAGGAAAAGAGGCUGGCAAAUAAACGAAGUUUACGUACGUUGAUUUUGGUAUCUUUUCAAGGCCUUCUUUCCGACUCACACUGGUAGGCAAUUAACAAAUACUGUUUUGUAAGCCAGCAAAAAUCUUGCUUGUACAAUCCCUAUUCCUGCCUUAACCAUACAAAUUUAACGAUCAUCUAAAAAUAAUUAGCACCCUGAUUCCAUUCAAUGAAAGUGCUGUACGUAAAGAGAAUGUAAAAUAGUGACAGCUCCCAUUUGCGGAGAGCGUCUGCUUCCCAGCUUGCAAAACCCUUUCAGACAUUUUUUUUCUUCCUAUCCUGCAAAAAUUGCUGUGUUGUAGGUCUUACUAUCAAUGACACUGAAAAAGCUACAGGCAGGAUGAAUAUAUUUUCAUCUGAAUCAAUACUGAUAUAUUCCAUUGGGGGAGCUAGACCAAGCGAACAUCUCACACACGGAAAUAUUAAUAUGCAAGACCAGGGGUCCAAAAGUAGGCUAGAAGGUUGCUGGUUUUUAGGGUUAAAAAGAGCCCCCCCCCCUCCUUGCUCUCUCUCUCUCUCUCUGUAUCACCUUCUAAUCUUCCUUCUGAUUGCAAACCGGACAAUUGAAAUUUCUUGCCUUCCUGCUGAGACGCUCUAUGUAAAUACACAUCAACAGUGACUAGCAGGUGCACCAUCCUUAAAGGGACCUUCGUCUCCGCGGCGCCCUAGGCGAAACCAUUUUACCUCCUAAGUCGAGGACGUGUGUGUCUGUGACAGAGGAUGACGUGACACUUUGCAGGUUUAAGUGCUUAAUGAUCUCGAGGUUACAAGCAUGAGGCUGUUAAGCAUUUCCCCCUCCUGGUCUCCCAGAGACGCGGAAUCUACAAUUUUCUCGGGUCGCCUGUCAGAUAAAUUGGCAAGUCGACUAAAAGGCUAAUAUUCCCUUAGCGAUGCCUCCCUCGGAAGCCCUAGCAACUGUAUUAGGCAGCGGGGAGUACUCGCGAGCAAGACACCUCGCCGAGAGGGAACUCUGCAAUUUAGAGUGACAGAUGAUUCUUUUCUCAUCCAUCAAGCCGCCUCAAAAUGUCACAAUAUUUACACCUCUUCCUUGGUGAAUUAGAAUCCAGGCAGGGUAAAAAAAAAAAAAAAAAAAAAAAAAAA
rnacentral:lncRNA from 1 species